rnacentral:rRNA from 1 species
GAGCGCGUGUAGCAAUACACGAGCGGCAGACGGGAGUAGUAACACGUGGGAACGUACCCUUCGGUUCGGAACAACCCAGGGAAACUUGGGCUAAUACCGGAUACGUCCGUAAGGAGAAAGAUUUAUCGCUGAAGGAUCGGCCCGCGUCUGAUUAGCUAGUUGGUGGGGUAAUGGCCCACCAAGGCGACGAUCAGUAGCUGGUCUGAGAGGAUGAUCAGCCUCACUGGGACUGAGACACGGCCCAGACUCCUACGGGAGGCAGCAGUGGGGAAUAUUGGACAAUGGGCGCAAGCCUGAUCCAGCCAUGCCGCGUGGGUGAUGAAGGCCCUAGGGUUGUAAAGCCCUUUCGGCGGGGAAGAUAAUGACGGUACCCGCAGAAGAAGCCCCGGCUAACUUCGUG